UCAAGUUCGAUAUAUUCAACAGCCUUUAGGCUCUUAUCCAUUUUCCUGCGUGCCAUGGGUAUUAGGUGUCUAGCCCUCUGCUCUCUCGUCGUCAUCAUUUUUACCGUGAAUACAAUGGUGUCAUCGACUACCGUUGCGUGCAACCAACAAACACAGAAGCCCUUCUGCCUUGGACAGGGAAACGGGCCAGACAAGUGCACCUGUGCUACAUAAGGAUUAUACAAAGGAUCCAGGGGAUUACCACUCUCGGCUGCCUGCUUCGGACAAUGAAAUAAGGCUUACUGUGUUAAUAAAGGUUUCGG
rnacentral:lncRNA from 1 species